GAAAACUCCGAGAACAAACUGUUUGAGCGUUUCAACGCUUGCUGUCUGUUGUAGGUAGAGUGGGACUCUCCGCCUGGGUUCGGCUACGGUUCGGUUCUCUAGAACCCGAACGAAUCUCAGCUUCGUGCAUCAAGAAACUGUAGACAUCUUGGCACUGUCAGUCAUUCAUGUGGGAAGCGGAGGCAGUUAUAACAAUAAAAAAAACUCUAUACGUAGAAGAAAGAAAAAAAAACAACAUCACCCACACCGAUGCAUUCAGGAUUUUAUAUGGCAGGCAGCGGGCGCGGGUAAACGUUUCAAGUAUCUGGACCAUAUACAUGGAGUGAUGCUAGGUCUGAGUUAGGGGUACAGCAAGCAAGGAUUGAUUUAAGAUUUCAAAACCGUUUUGUUCAAUGGGGCUUUCCCUUGAUUUUUGACUGAGCGAUCUAAACGACAAUAUUGUUUGCGAUCUCCUUAGAUAAAUAGCCAUCGCCCAGAAUUUUGUUUAUCCGGACUGUUGGAAAACAGUGCUGCCAUUUGAUUGCGAAUUUCAAGUAUUCCUCAAUUGACAUACAUUUUUGGAGCACCUGUUCAGUUGGUCAUUCUGAAUUAGGAUGAAUGGUCACAUUAAACCGUUUAAGAACCCUUCCUUAUAGACAACUUCUUUGAAUUUUACAGAUUUGGAAAAUUUUAAUGAAAUUUUUAAUUUAAAGUGCUCAUAAUAUAAUGAAAUGAAAUUUAAUUUAAAUGAAAAAUUUUCUGCCUCUGUUGGCCAACAUAAAUUCUUUAGCUAAUAAAAUUUUAAAAUCUGAGAUGGCGACUUCUAAUUAGAGCAAUCCCACUAAGAACGAUUAACCCAUUCAUGCCUGUGUUGUUUGUGGAUAACAACGUUUUUAAACAGCUAUAACUUUUGAUUAAGGCAAAAUUUGCUCACAAAAACAAGGAAGGCUAAUAAAUGUAACUAUUGCCUUUCAUUUGAGUAUUAAUAGUUUCAAGGACCAGCUAAAGAACUGAAGUUAAUGCAAUUAGUCUGAUUGGAUUCCGAUGGAGCUGUGCUGCCUGGAACAGUUUACGUUGACGAAAUAAAUAUUCUAGGAGAAUUGUAUUGAGCAUUCAUUGGAAGAUAAAAAUUGAGCAGCUUCUAGCACUGCGAGGGAAGCACCGUUUUCAAAGAAGAAUAGUUUUGAAACCCUACAUGCACGAGAAAAAAGAAAACAAAUUUCGACCAACCAUCGUCUAUUCAGAUGACGUAUUUCCGCAUCUAAUCAAAACUACCCGAGAAUGAGUUUCAGAUAAUUAAUACAUCUUUUCGAAAAAAAUAUACA